rnacentral:rRNA from 1 species
CAACGGCUUGACGAUAAGAAAGCUGUCUCUCUUUACUAAACUCUGAAGUUAGCUGGAUAGUGAAGAGACUCUCUUAGCAAAGCGGGACGAGAAGACCCCGUUGAGCUUUAGUAAAAAUUGUUUAUUAAAGACUUGAUUACUUGAGUUGGGGCAACUAUCUUUCUUUUUUAAAACAAAGAUAAAAAUGUUUUGAGUUGAUUCUUUUAUGACCCUUAAUCUUAGGAAUAGUAGAAAAAGUUACCACGGGGAUAACAGCGUAAUUUUUUUUGAGAGUUCUUAUUGACAAAAAAGUUUGCGACCUCGAUGUUG